UACGAAGGGGCUAGCGUUGCUCGGAAUCACUGGGCGUAAAGGGUGCGUAGGCGGGUCUUUUAAGUCAGGGGUGAAAUCCUGGGAGCUCCGAACUCCCAGUAACUGCCUUUGGAUACUGAAGAUCUUGAGUUCGGGGAGAGGUGAGUGGGAACUGCGAGUGGUAGAGGUGAAAUUCGUAGAUAUUCGCAAAGAACACCAGUGGCGAAGGCGGCCAACUGGGUCCGGUACUG
rnacentral:rRNA from 1 species